AAGUCGUAACAAGGUUUCCGUAGGUGAACCUGCGGAAGGAUCAUUACCGAGAUAGGGUUCCCUUGGGAGCCCGACCUCCAACCCUUUGUCUACCAAACCACUGUUGCCUCGGCGGGCCGCCGGUUUUCCCCUGGGAAGCCGCCGUCGGCCUCGGCUUUCGAGUGCCCGCCGCGGGACCUUUGAAACUCUUAAAAACGUCUUCUGAGUGGACAUCAAUGCUUCAAAAAAAAAACUUUCAACAACGGAUCUCUUGGUUCUG
rnacentral:misc_RNA from 1 species